UGUCUCUAGUUGUGGGGAGGGAGACUCCUUGGUGACGCAGCUACGCGUGAAGUAGACCGCCUGGGGAGUAGGUCGCAAGAUAAAACUCAAAGGAAUUGACGGGGGCCCGCACAAGCGGUGGAUUAUGUGGAUUAAUUCGAUGCAACGCGAAAAACCUUACCUGGCCUUGACAUGCCACUAACGAAGCAGAGAUGCAUCAGGUGCUCGAAAGAGAAAGUGGACACAGGUGCUGCAUGGCUGUCGUCAGCUCGUG
rnacentral:rRNA from 1 species